UACGUAGGGUGCAAGCGUUGUCCGGAAUUAUUGGGCGUAAAGGGCUCGUAGGCGGUUUGUCGCGUCGGGAGUGAAAUCCACUGGCUUAACUGGUGGCUUGCUUUCGAUACGGGCAGACUGGAGGUAUGCAGGGGAGAACGGAAUUCCUGGUGUAGCGGUAGAAAUGCGCAGAUAUCAGGAGGAACACCGGUGGCGAAGGCGGUUCUCUGGGCAUGUCCUGACGCUGAGGAGCGAAAGUGUGGGGAGCGAACAGG
rnacentral:rRNA from 1 species